UUAUGGGGUGUUACCAGUGGCAGUUUUGGUAUGGAAAUUCUGGUGGGGCCACACAAUAUUCAUGCAAGAAAAUCCGAUGCAAUCCAAACAUAUUACCACUCUCACAUCGUCACAACAUAUAAAGUGCAGAAGAGA